rnacentral:rRNA from 1 species
UACGUAGGGCGCAAGCGUUGUCCGGAAUUAUUGGGCGUAAAGAGCUCGUAGGCGGCUUGUCACGUCGAUUGUGAAAGCCCGAGGCUUAACCUCGGGUCUGCAGUCGAUACGGGGCUAGCUAGAGUGUGGUAGGGGAGAUCGGAAUUCCUGGUGUAGCGGUGAAAUGCGCAGAUAUCAGGAGGAACACCGGUGGCGAAGGCGGGUCUCUGGGCCGAUACUGACGCUGAGGAGCGAAAGCGUGGGGAGCGAACAGG